UGCCUGUCAGUCUAGCCCGUGUGUGCAUGGCUCCUGCUUUAGCGGACCGGCUGGUUACCUGUGCGUCUGUGAUCACGGCUACACUGGCAUUCACUGUGAUUCGAGCAUAGGCGGCAUUGAGACGUGUCUGUCGUGCCCUGCCAGACUUACGGACGUGCCGUGUACCCACGUACAGAAGUGCUCAUCGGGCCAGCAAUGUUUCGCGCGUAUCCUGGCAACGUCUUCAGG